rnacentral:tRNA from 1 species
ACAUUGCUGGUUCAGUGGUAGAAUUCUCACUUUCCAUGCAGGAGACCUGGGUUCGAUUCCCAGCCAAUGAA